rnacentral:rRNA from 1 species
GGUUUCGGAGGUUUCAACUCAUCAACCCUGUGACAUACCUAUAACGUUGCCUCGGCGGGAACAGACGGCCCCGUAACACGGGCCGCCCCCGCCAGAGGACCCCCUAACUCUGUUUCUAUAAUGUUUCUUCUGAGUAAACAAGCAAAUAAAUUAAAACUUUCAACAACGGAUCUCUUGGCUCUGGCAUCGAUGAAGAACGCAGCGAAAUGCGAUAAGUAAUGUGAAUUGCAGAAUUCAGUGAAUCAUCGAAUCUUUGAACGCACAUUGCGCCCGCCAGUAUUCUGGCGGGCAUGCCUGUUCGAGCGUCAUUACAACCCUCAGGCCCCCGGGCCUGGCGUUGGGGAUCGGCGGAAGCCCCCUGCGGGCACAACGCCGUCCCCCAAAUACAGUGGCGGUCCCGCCGCAGCUUCCAUUGCGUAGUAGCUAACACCUCGCAACUGGAGAGCGGCGCGGCCACGCCGUAAAACACCCAACUUCUGAAUGUUGACCUCGAAUCAGGUAGGAAUACCCGCUGAACUUAAGCAUAUCAAUAAGCGGAGGAA